rnacentral:rRNA from 1 species
CGAACGGGGAGAUUCAUCGUCAGCGGACGCCGGCUUCGCGUCGGUCGGCGAUGUCCCGCGGGGGCCCUCGCGGCUCUCAGCGCGGGCACGCUGCCGUGCGCCGAUGUAUCCGGCUUCGCCGUCGUGCACUUCUCCCCUGGUAGAACGUCGCGACCCGCUGGGUGUCGGUCUACGGCCCGGGUGCGGUGUCUGACGCGCCGCCGGUAAAACGGCGCGCGUCAAACCCCCGGUCGCCCGGCCGGCUGCCCGGCGGUACGCGCAAGGUAUCAGGCCGCACACACAUUUGAACGGUGCGUCGAGGCCGUCGCAAGCGCGCGCCACGGUACACGGAGGUACGGACCUAGCGCCGUCACCGGUCCUGGCCCGCUGUUGGUCGUACGGUUAACCUUCGACAGGCCUACGAACGUCCCAGCGUGGGGGUCGGGGGCUCGUCUCCCGCGCCUCGCGUUGGC